GGCUUCGUAGCUCAGUAAAAUAAUAAUAAAAAUUAAAUAAUGGUUAGAGCGUCGCACCGGUAUUGCAAGGUCACGGGUUCAAACCCCUUUGAAGUCC
rnacentral:tRNA from 1 species